rnacentral:rRNA from 1 species
GACGUAGGGGGCAAGCGUUGUCCGGAUUUAUUGGGCGUAAAGAGCGUGUAGGCGGUUUGGUAGGUCCGUUGUGAAAACUCGAGGCUCAACCUCGAGACGCCGAUGGAAACCAUCAGACUAGAGUCCGGAAGAGGAGAGUGGAAUUCCUGGUGUAGCGGUGAAAUGCGCAGAUAUCAGGAAGAACACCCGUGGCUAAGGCGGCUCUCUAGUACGGUACUGACGCUGAGACGCGAAAGCGUGGGGAGCGAACAGG